rnacentral:rRNA from 1 species
AGCGAACGCUGGCGGCAGGCCUAACACAUGCAAGUCGAACGAACUCUUCGGAGUUAGUGGCGGACGGGUGAGUAACACGUGGGAACGUUCCUUUAGGUUCGGAAUAACUCAGGGAAACUUGUGCUAAUACCGAAUGUGCCCUUCGGGGGAAAGAUUUAUCGCCUUUAGAGCGGCCCGCGUCUGUUUAGCUAGUUGGUGAGGUAAAGGCUCACCAAGGCGACGAUCAGUAGCUGGUCUGAGAGGAUGAUCAGCCACAUUGGGACUGAGACACGGCCCAAAAUCCUACGGGAGGCAGCAGUGGGGAAUCUUGCGAAAUGGGCGAAGGCCUGACGCAGCCAUGCCGCGUGAAUGAUGAAGGUCUUAGGAUUGUAAAAUUCUUUCACCGGGGACGAUAAUGACGGUACCCGGAGAAGAAGCCCCGGCUAACUUCGUG